GGUCUGCUGAAGACCUAUUCUAUCCCGGAUCUACACUUGGGAUUCUCCAAGACACAAGAGCUUGAAGAUCGAAAGUUGUGAUUUGGCCAAAACCUCUGGACACUGAUGUACAUUUGUUAUUGACUUGACCCGGAAUGUGACUGUUUCCCCGUCCAUGUUGAUUAUUUAAUGUGUAUGACUGUUUCUGUUUGUUUAUUGUUGAACUCCUCACUGGAGUCGGUAUCAGACAAUCCGGUGAUUGACAUCAUGUACAUCGAUCUACGUAAUUUGGUACGAUGAUAUGCAUAAACUAAGUCAGCAAGCCUGACAAACCAAUCCCACUAGUCGCCUCUUACGACAAGCAUGGGUUUCUGCAGACCCAUUCUAACCCGUAUCUUCACGGGAGUAUGUAUGUUUCCAGAGCCUGCAGAUGUAUUAGUUACUGUCGUCAAAUGGAAUAUAUCAACUUCGGUUAUA